AAAACUUUCAACAACGGAUCUCUUGGUUCUGGCAUCGAUGAAGAACGCAGCGAAAUGCGAUAAGUAAUGUGAAUUGCAGAAUUUAGUGAAUCAUCGAAUCUUUGAACGCACAUUGCACCUUUUGGUAUUCCAUGAGGUAUACAUGUUCGAGCGUCGUU
rnacentral:rRNA from 1 species